UCAAGCAAUUCUCCUGCCUCAGCCUCCAAGUAGCUGGGACUACAGGCACAUGCUACCACUGCCGGCUAAUUUUUUGUAUUUUAGUAGAGAUGGGGUUUUACCAUGUUGCCCAGGCUGAUUUCGAACUCCUGAUCUCAGGCAAUCCGCCUGCCUCUGCCUGCCAAAGUGCUGGGAUUACAGGCGUGAGCGACCGUGCCUGGCCCAUAUUUUCUUUUAUUGAAGUAUACUUUCCUGUUUCUUUGUGUACCUUCUUGUGAUUUUUUUUGUUGUUGUUUUUGAAAACUGGACUUUUGAAUAGUAUAUUGUGGCAACUCUGAAAAUAAGAUUCUUCUCCUUCUUUGGGGUUUACUGUUUUAUUUUAUUUAUUUUUUUGUGUGUGUGGUUGUUUUUGUUUUCAUUGUUGAGACCUGUAAUAGUCUUGUUCUAGUAACUUUUCCUAUUUUUGCAGAGACUUUUCUUUGUCAUGUGUGGUUGCUGAAGUCUCUGUCCCUUAGCUUGUAUUCAGUGAGUGGGGUUUUUUUGUUUGUUUGUUUGUUUUUGAGACAGAGUUUUUGCUCUGUUGCCCAGGCUGGAGUGAACUGGCCUGAUGUCAGCUCACUGCAAUCUCCCAGGUUCAAGCAAUUCUCCUGCCUCAGCCUCCUGUGUAGCUAAGAUUGCAGGCACAUGCCACCACACCCAGCUAAAUUUUGUAUUUUUAGUAGAGAUGGGGUUUCACCAUGUUGUCCGGGCUGGCCUCGAACUCCUGACCGCAAGUGAUCUGCCUGCCUCAGCCUCCCAAAGUACUGGGAUUAUAGGCGUGAGCCACCACGCCUGGCCUUCAGUGAGUGCUUUGACAGAAUUUUACCUGAAUGUCAAGAGCUAAAAAACAAAACAAACAAACAAACAAAAAUACUUUUCUCAGUUUUUGCCAAUUGGGCGUGUACUGGGGCCCUCCUUCAACACUUAGCCAGGCUUUCACUGAGCUUAGGAAUCAGCUGUGAUGAAACCUGAAGUUUUUAAUCAUGUCUUUUCUGAGCAAGCAUCUUGCCCUGGGCACAUGCAUGGCUGGCUAAAUUCCCUGCAUUCACAGGUGCUUCUGAUUGUCCUAACUUCCCAAAGAAACUCUGUUCUCAAAUUUUUUGCCCAAGCCUUAGGUGGUUUAUUGCAUGUCUCAACUGUGACCUUUUGCCUCAGGCCUUGUUCUUCUACCUUAUGAUGAUUCAAGCAAUGCCUGCUGCUUUUCCAAUCUGGGUUAGUUCAGAGUUAGGCAAACAGAGGUGAGCAUUUUGUGCCAGUCCUUCACGUACAGACAGGUUAAAACCGAUCUACACAAUAAUUUGCAAAUAAGGUCUGCUUUGCUCCCUCUAGAACCAGGGACCCCACUCCCAUGCCGACAGUAUGGGCUGCUGUCUUCAGGACCAUUGCAAGAUGUCAGAGCUGCAGCAUGAUCUGGAGGCUUUCCUCGCUUUCUUCUGCUUCCCCUCCCUUGAUCCUUCACAGGCAUUUUCCUCAAUACAUCUCUUGCCUGGCUAAUCCUGUCUGAUGAGUUUCCAGAUGGACCUGAAUUAAGUAUGUUCUCCAGCUAGCUGCUAGCUAGUUAAAGGCAGAUCCAUGUGCCAUACUAUGGUAGGGAUGGUUAGUUUAUAUAUACCUUCUUAUCUAACUUUCAUAAUCAUUUACUGAGGUAAAUGGGCUGGGUAGUAUGAUUGCAAUUUUAUGUAUAAGGAAACAGGAUUAAUUUAGGAACUUGCCUGGGAUAUACACUAGUAAGUGGCAGAGCUGAGCUGAAAUUUAAACUUAAGUUGGUAUUACUCCAAAGUUACCUUAACUACUCAUCUGUGGGGCAGUUAGACUGAGAGUGAAGUUGACAUCUUAUGAGAGUUGAAGUAUCUGAGGAAGAUAAACUUGAUGUUCUACAGAAGUUGGGGGAGGAAGUUCUCCAAAUCAGAAUCAAGUUUUUUUCUCAAGCAAUGAUUUUAGGACAAUACCAAAUGUGUGAUACCCAUACCAAAUGUGUGAUACCUAUGUAUUGAAUUUAUGACAGAGUUACCAACGUUCUACUUUGGACAAUUAACUGAAAAUUUUCAGUCUAAAAACAUAAUGUGGACAUUUAUAAUUAUAUAUACAUACAUGAUUCAUUUGCUUUUCAUCUUUUUUCUUUACUGAAUUAUAGCUUUAGCAAAUAUCUAUUGAAUUUUUAUUAUAUGUCAUGCAUGAUACCUUUAAGGAAAAAUAUAUAUAUUCCCUUUCCUUCCCAUUAUAUUUAAUCCGAUUUUUUUCUUACUUUCUGUCAUUAUGAAUAAGUAUUUUAGACAGCCUACUGUUUGCAUGGUACUAAGCAAUAGAAAAGGGCCUCCUUCCUGUAAGUCUAAUCACACCCCACCUUAGAUGGAAGCUGAUUCAAUGGGUUAGUGAGCAUGUAGAGAAAGAUCUGCUCAGUCAGUGUCAAAGUUUAUUUCAGCGGUAGGUUGUAAGAGGUUCAACAU
ensembl:lncRNA LINC01359 long intergenic non-protein coding RNA 1359